GGAUCCCCUAACAACAGUGAGAGAGCAAUGCGAACAGCUGGAGAAAUGUGUAAAGGCUCGGGAGCGGCUAGAGCUCUGUGACCAGCGUGUAUCCUCCAGGUCACAGACAGAGGAGGAUUGUACUGAGGAGCUCUUUGACUUCCUGCAUGCAAGGGACCACUGCGUGGCCCACAAACUCUUUAACAGCUUGAAAUAAAUGUGCAUACUUCACCCCCGCCUUCAUCACCCGGGCAUCAGGAUAUUUCAUGGUUUCGACCAUGCCAUUUGUUUCUUAUCUGUGUAACUGUACGUUCAUGUGAACCUCAUGGAUCUUGGCUUAGGCAAGUAACUUCUAUGUAAUUAGCAGUGAUUCCUCUUAAUAAAGUCCAGUGAUCUGCAGA